GGUUACGGCCAUAUCCUGGUAAAAAUCGGCUUCCCGUCCGAUCAGCCAUAAGUCAAGCAACCCAGAGAGCCUAGUUAGUUUGUGUAAGGGGAGAACCAUACGAGAAAAUCCUGGGGGCUGUAAUC
rnacentral:rRNA from 1 species